rnacentral:rRNA from 1 species
GACGAACGCUGGCGGCGUGCCUAACACAUGCAAGUCGAACGGAGUUAAGACUUCGGUUUUAACUUAGUGGCGAACGGGUGAGUAACGCGUGAGAAACCUGCCUUUCAGUGGGGGACAACAGUUGGAAACGACUGCUAAUACCGCAUAAUGUCAUUUGGGGGCAUCCCUGAAUGACCAAAGAUUUAUUGCUGAAAGAUGGUCUCGCGUCUGAUUAGCUAGAUGGCGGGGUAACGGCCCACCAUGGCGACGAUCAGUAGCCGGUCUGAGAGGAUGAACGGCCACAUUGGGACUGAGAUACGGCCCAGACUCCUUCGGGAGGCAGCAGUGGGGAAUAUUGGGCAAUGGGGGAAACCCUGACCCAGCAACGCCGCGUGAAGGAAGAAGGCCUUCGGGUUGUAAACUUCUUUUACCAGGGACGAACAAAUGACGGUACCUGGAGAAAAAGCAACGGCUAACUACGUGUCAGCCGCCGCAGUAACAC